rnacentral:rRNA from 1 species
CUACGGGGCGCACCAGUUAGGAAUAAUCUGCAAUGCGCGAAAGCGUGACAGUUUGAGCCAGAGUGCUUCUCAAUUUGGGAAGCUUUUCUUUACUGUAAAAAGGUAGAGGAAUAAGGACUGGGCAAGACUAGUGCCAGCCGCCGCGGUAAUACUAGCUGUCCAAGUCGCAGCCAUCUUUAUUGGGUCUAAAAUAUCCGUAGCUUGCUUGGUAAGUUCCUUGUGAAAUCCUAUGUCUAAAGCAUGGGGCGUGCAGGGAGUACUGCCAGGCUAGAGACUGGAAGACGUAGGAAGUACGAUAGAAGUAGCGGUUAAAUGCGUUGAUCUUUAUCGGACUAACAACAGCGAAGGCAUCCUACGAGGACAGUUCUGACAGUGAGGGAUGAAAGCUAGGGGCGCAAAUUGGAUUAGAUACCCCAGUAGUC